GAUGAACGCUGGCGGCGUGCCUAACACAUGCAAGUCGAACGGAAAGGCCCUGCUCUUGUUGGGCUCUCGAGUGGCGAACGGGUGAGUAAAACGCGAGUAACAUGCCCUUUACAUUGGGAUAACUUCUGGGAAAAGGGGCGAAUACAGGAGAGGAUAUACUGCUCCAUGGUGGGGGUUGGAAAGAUUCGGUUGUUGGGGAUCGAAUCGCGGCUUAUCAGCUUGUUGGUGGGGUAGGGGCUUACAAAGGCUUUGACGGGUAGGCGGCCUGGGAGGGUGACCGGCCCCAUUGGGCCUGAGAUACGGCCCAGACUCCUACGGGAGGCAGCAGUGGGGAAUAUUGCACAAUGGGCGGAAGCCUGAUGCAGCAACGCCGCGUGCGGGAUGACGGCCUUCGGGUUGUAAACCGCUUUCGCCUGUGACGAAGCGUGAGUGACGGUAAUGGGUAAAGAAGCACCGGCUAACUACGUG
rnacentral:rRNA from 1 species